rnacentral:rRNA from 1 species
UACGGAGGGGGCUAGCGUUGUUCGGAAUUACUGGGCGUAAAGGGCUCGUAGGCGGCCAACUAAGUCGGAUGUGAAAUCCCCAGGCUCAACCUGGGAACUGCAUCCGAUACUGGAUGGCUUGAAUCCGGGAGAGGGAUGCAGAAUUCCAGGUGUAGCGGUGAAAUGCGUAGAUAUCUGGAGGAAUACCGGUGGCGAAGGCGGCAUCCUGGACCGGCAUUGACGCUGAGGAGCGAAAGCCAGGGGAGCAAACGGG